rnacentral:rRNA from 1 species
GUGUCAGCAGCCGCGGUAAUACAGAGGUCCCAAGCGUUGUUCGGAUUCACUGGGCGUAAAGGGUGCGUAGGUGGUGAGGUAAGUCGGAUGUGAAAGCUCCGAGCUCAACUCGGAAAUGGCAUUGGAAACUACCUUGCUCGAGGGUUUGAGGGGGGACUGGAAUACUUGGUGUAGCAGUGAAAUGCGUAGAUAUCAAGUAGAACACCAGUGGCGAAGGCGAGUCCCUGGAAAACUCCUGACACUGAGGCACGAAAGCUAGGGGAGCAAACAGGAUUAGAAACCCCUGUAGUCC